rnacentral:rRNA from 1 species
AGGGGAAUAUUGGACAAUGGGCGCAAGCCUGAUCCAGCAAUGCCGCGUGUGUGAAGAAGGCCUUCGGGUUGUAAAGCACUUUUAUCAGGAGCGAAAUACUACCGGUUAAUAACCGGUGGGGCUGACGGUACCUGAGGAAUAAGCACCGGCUAACUUCGUGCCAGCAGCCGCGGUAAUACGAAGGGUGCAAGAGUUAAUCGGAAUUACUGGGCGUAAAGCGUGCGUAGGCGGUUUGUUAAGUCUGCUGUGAAGUCCUCGGGCUCAACCUGGGAAUGGCAGUGGAUACUGGCAAGCUAGAGUGUGAUAGAGGAUGGUGGAAUUCCCGGUGUAGCGGUGAAAUGCGUAGAGAUCGGGAGGAAUAUCUGUGGCGAAGGCGACUGCCUGGACCAGCACUGACACUGAGGUACGAAAGCGUGGGGAGCAAACA